rnacentral:lncRNA from 13 species
ACUCAUAGUAACAUUUUUUAUAGAUGCAGAAGCUGAAAUUCUGUCUAUCUAGAAAAUGCUUUCUUCCUUCUCCUGGCCCUGGCCUGUCACCUUCUCUGGAAGCCAUCCCUGACACACCUGUACCAGAAACCAACAGAAGUUUCUGACAUCGUAUGUUGAAUGUGACUGAAAGGAAGAUGGCAAAGUUGUGCUGAAACAAGAGCGAUGCUUUCGAAGAUCGUCUGGUUGUGCUUAAGAAAACGAGGUGAGUGUUACACAAGAUAUUCAUGAAGUAAUUUCACAAAGGUGAGUCAAGCCCAGAGCCAGGAUCUAAACUAAGGAAUGCACUAGGUGUGUGAGGAAUGAAUGCCGUCUCCUCUCCUCUGCCCUUCAGUAAGGAAGCACGUCACUGUGGCAAUCAAGGGGUUCAGAAGAGGGGGAUUUCACAUGAAAAGUAGAGAGCUGGCUGGAAUUGGGCAGAGGUGAUAACAUAACGGCUUUGGAAUGAUGCUACCGUGAGGUGAGGGGCUUGAAGCAAAUCUUCAAGAGCAGGCUGUAGUCUUGAUGAAUAAGCUAUUCUACUUGGCUCCUGUCUUAUCUUCCUGGAGCAACUAGCUUAGUUAGUUUUGCUUUUUCUCAGUGUCGUUUAUCACAGGGACAGGAAAGCAUUUUGAAUUCAUUUUUUGACCUGCAUCAACUUGUUGUGUGUACAUCUCAUUAUGAUGCAUCACAGUUAAUUUACAUGUGCUUUUCCCCCAAGACUGUGAACAAUUGAUAGCAUUUAAUUUUGUAUCAUGAUAAACACGUUGCCUGGUAGCAGUUUCAGCCACACUUUCCAGUGAAAUGGAUAAUGCAAUGCCUAAAGAAAAACUAACUCAACCUCCCCUACCGCAUUCAGUCCCCCACCCCAUAAUGAAGCACUGUGAUCAUGGUAAUACAGCGAUGACCAGAGAACCUGGCACUUGGGCUGACUCCUGGCAGCUGGACCUGUCGGAUUUAAUAGAAAGAAUACAAUGUUACGAUAGAGGCAUUCACACCAGUUGGCAUGAAAGGUCACAGAACAGCUUACAUGGUGGAGUUUGCAUCCAUGUUUAUCAUCUACAGGUAAUUAAAGGUGAUUUCCCUGAACUUCUUGGGUAGUUUUGAGACCGGAUUGAGAGGAAUAAAUUUUCGUUUCUUUGCGUUUGUGUAACCA